UGGUCCUUGAUGUGUAGGAUAGGUGGGAGGCUUUGAAGUGUGGACGCCAGUCUGCAUGGAGCCAUCCUUGAAAUACCACCCUUUAAUGGCUGGUGUUCUAACGUGGGCCCCUAAUCGGGGUUGCGGACAGUGUCUGGUGGGUAGUUUGACUGGGGCGGUCUCCUCCCAAAGAGUAACGGAGGAGCACGAAGGUUAGCUAAUCCUGGUCGGACAUCAGGAGGUUAGUGCAAAGGCAUAAGCUAGCUUGACUGCGAGAGUGACGGCUCGAGCAGGUGCGAAAGCAGGUC
rnacentral:rRNA from 1 species